GAUGAACGCUGGCGGCGUGCCUAAUACAUGCAAGUCGAGCGAACGGACGAGAAGCUUGCUUCUCUGAUGUUAGCGGCGGACGGGUGAGUAACACGUGGAUAACCUACCUAUAAGACUGGGAUAACUUCGGGAAACCGGAGCUAAUACCGGAUAAUAUUUUGAACCGCAUGGUUCAAAAGUGAAAGACGGUCUUGCUGUCACUUAUAGGUGGAUCCGCGCUGCAUUAGCUAGUUGGUAAGGUAACGGCUUACCAAGGCAACGAUGCAUAGCCGACCUGAGAGGGUGAUCGGCCACACUGGAACUGAGACACGGUCCAGACUCCUACGGGGGGCAGCAGUAGGGAAUCUUCCGCAAUGGGCGAAAGCCUGACGGAGCAACGCCGCGUGAGUGAUGAAGGUCUUCGGAUCGUAAAACUCUGUUAUUAGGGAAGAACAUAUGUGUAAGUAACUGUGCACAUCUUGACGGUACCUAAUCAGAAAGCCACGGCUAACUACGUGCCAGCAGCCGCGGUAAUACGUAGGUGGCAAGCGUUAUCCGGAAUUAUUGGGCGUAAAGCGCGCGUAGGCGGUUUUUUAAGUCUGAUGUGAAAGCCCACGGCUCAACCGUGGAGGGUCAUUGGAAACUGGAAAACUUGAGUGCAGAAGAGGAAAGUGGAAUUCCAUGUGUAGCGGUGAAAUGCGCAGAGAUAUGGAGGAACACCAGUGGCGAAGGCGACUUUCUGGUCUGUAACUGACGCUGAUGUGCGAAAGCGUGGGGAUCAAACAGGAUUAGAUACCCUGGUAGUCCACGCCGUAAACGAUGAGUGCUAAGUGUUAGGGGGUUUCCGCCCCUUAGUGCUGCAGCUAACGCAUUAAGCACUCCGCCUGGGGAGUACGACCGCAAGGUUGAAACUCAAAGGAAUUGACGGGGACCCGCACAAGCGGUGGAGCAUGUGGUUUAAUUCGAAGCAACGCGAAGAACCUUACCAAAUCUUGACAUCCUUUGACAACUCUAGAGAUAGAGCCUUCCCCUUCGGGGGACAAAGUGACAGGUGGUGCAUGGUUGUCGUCAGCUCGUGUCGUGAGAUGUUGGGUUAAGUCCCGCAACGAGCGCAACCCUUAAGCUUAGUUGCCAUCAUUAAGUUGGGCACUCUAAGUUGACUGCCGGUGACAAACCGGAGGAAGGUGGGGAUGACGUCAAAUCAUCAUGCCCCUUAUGAUUUGGGCUACACACGUGCUACAAUGGACAAUACAAAGGGCAGCGAAACCGCGAGGUCAAGCAAAUCCCAUAAAGUUGUUCUCAGUUCGGAUUGUAGUCUGCAACUCGACUACAUGAAGCUGGAAUCGCUAGUAAUCGUAGAUCAGCAUGCUACGGUGAAUACGUUCCCGGGUCU
rnacentral:rRNA from 1 species